GACGUAGGGGGCCAGCGUUGUUCGGAAUUACUGGGUGUAAAGGGUUCGUAGGCGGUGCGGCAAGUCGGGAGUGAAAUUUCUGGGCUUAACUCAGAGGCUGCUUCCGAAACUUCCGUGCUUGAGUGUGGGAGAGGCGCGUGGAAUUGCAGGUGUAGCGGUGAAAUGCGUAGAUAUCUGCAGGAACACCCGUGGCGAAAGCGGCGCGCUGGACCACAACUGACGCUGAGGAACGAAAGCUAGGGGAG
rnacentral:rRNA from 1 species